GCCGGACUAGCUCAAUUGGUAGAGCAACUGACUUGUAAUCAGUAGGUUGGGGGUUCAAGUCCUCUGGCCGGCACCA
rnacentral:tRNA from 1 species